rnacentral:lncRNA from 1 species
UAUAGUCCUCCUCGCUUAGAUUGUAUCAUCCUUCUCCUUCUCUUUUCUCCUCCCUCCUCUACUUCUUCUUCUUCUUCCUUUCAUUCCUCUCGAUCUUAGCAUCCAGUUGAUCGGUUCUAGCGCCUUGCUUCCUCCCCAAAAUCAGAAAUUGAGAAUCUGGGUCGCCAUUUCCACGCAUUGGGUCUCCGAAGAUGCAGCUCCUCCUGGAAUCCACUCGCUAAUUCCCCCUCACCGAGCCUCUAACCAAUCCAACAGAGUAGAAAAGAGAAGAUUAGUAGAGAAAUAUGGAUACCUCUGCGUGGCUUAACUUGCAACCGGAUCUUACAAAGCUAGAAGAUGACGCUGGCCUCGCGCUCAAUCUCACCGAUAGACUAGGAAUUCAGCAGCAGC